rnacentral:rRNA from 1 species
AGAAUCAACGCUGGCGGCGUGCCUCAGACAUGCAAGUCGAACGCGAAAGUCCCCUUCGGGGGACAAGUAGAGUGGCGCACGGGUGAGUAACACGUAGGUAAUCUACCUUCGGAUGGGGAAUAACAACCGGAAACGGUUGCUAAUACCGCAUAAUGCAGCGGCACCUAAUGGUGACAGUUGUUAAAGCGGGGGAUCGAAAGACCUCGCGUCUGAAGAGGAGCCUGCGACGGAUUAGCUAGUUGGUAGGGUAACGGCCUACCAAGGCGACGAUCCGUAGCCGGCCUGAGAGGGCGGUCGGCCACGACUGACACUGACAUACGGGUCAGACUCCUACGGGAGGCAGCAGUCGGGAAUUUUGGGCAAUGGGCGAAAGCCUGACCCAGCAACGCCGCGUGAAGGAUGAAAUCCCUCGGGAUGUAAACUUCGCAAGAACGGAAGAAUGAGUAGGGACAACACCCCUAUGAUGACGGUACCGUUUGUAAGCUCCGGCUAACUCCGCGCCAGCAGCCGC